UGACUAACGGCCAGUAUUGACCUACCUCA
rnacentral:piRNA from 1 species